rnacentral:rRNA from 1 species
AUGGCCGUCUCCCGCCUCAACCCCGUAGCCUCGCCUUACCUUCCGAUGACACUCGCUUCCACGUGGUGCUACCCCUCUCCUUUCUCCUACCCGCCGUCUCCGCCCCCACUCCCGCCGGCGCACGGGUGGCCUUUUGCCUACGGCGGCGACUGGUGCCACACAGUGGGGAUGCCCUCGUUCCCGCUGCAGACAGCAUAUGGGUACCCCGCUCCAUUGAUGGUGUAUUGCUGCACGGCGCCGCCACCGCCACCGCAAUCGGCGACCCGUUGUCGAAUCACGGAGAUCAUCGAGGAUGGAGGCGAGGUAGCCUCGAAGGAAGAGGUAAGGUACGAGCGUUCCCCGCGCUCCGUCCUCACUCCUUGGAGCAGAGAGCCGCCCACUUCGCCCCUGCUACCGCGAGCGCCGCUUCUGCGUCCCCCGCCGCGUACGUCUUCCGCGGGACCGCGCCGCCUCCAGUGGCCACGCCUCGCCUUCAACCCCAAAGAGAACAACACGUCCCUGAUGAUUCGCAAUAUUCCCAAUAAAUUUAUGAAGAGGAGAUUCAUGGCCAUCCUCGACCAGCACUGCGCCGAGGAGAACGCCAAGCUCGGCCGCGACGGCGAAGGGGUCAGGUCCGAGUACGACUUCCUCUACGUCCCCGUCGACUUCCGGACGAGGUUCAACAAGGGCUACGCCUUCGUGAACAUGACAACGGCGGCGGCGGCGCGGCGGCUCCACGCGCACCUCAACGGCCACCGCUGGGAGGCCGCGGGCUCCAAGAAGGUGUGCGACGUCGUGCACGCGCGCCUGGAGGGGCUGGACGGGCUCGUGGCGCACUUCUCGGCGUCGUGGUUCCCCUGCGGCGGCCGCAAGGAUUUCCUGCCGGUGCGCUUCGAGCCGCCGCGCGACGGCGUACGUUGGACGGCGGAGCACGUGGUCGGCCACCUCCAGCCUCCCCGCUCCUGCUGA